GACGAACGCUGGCGGCGUGCCUAAUACAUGCAAGUCGAACGCAGUGGGGACGGGUGAGUAACACGUGGGUAACCUCCCAUCAGAGGGGAUAACACUUGGAAACAGGUGCUAAACCGAUACUGAUGGAUGGACCCGCGGUGCAUUAGCUAGUUGGUGAGGUAACGGCUCACCAAGGGCACGAUGCAUAGCCGGCCUGGGAUGGUGAUCGGCCAAACUGGGGCCGGGACACGGCCCAGACUCCUUCCGGAGGGAGCAGGAGGGAAUCAUCGGAAAUGGACGAAAGUCUGACCGAGCAACUCCGCGUGAGUGAAGAAGGUUUUCGGAGCGUAAAGCUCUGUUGUUAGAGAAGCGGUAACUAACCAGAAAGGGACGGCUAACUACGUGCCAGCCGCCGCGGUAAUAC
rnacentral:rRNA from 1 species